UACGUAGGGUGCGAGCGUUAAUCGGAAUUACUGGGCGUAAAGCGUGCGCAGGCGGUGAUGUAAGACCGGUGUGAAAUCCCCGGGCUUAACUUGGGAAUUGCGCUCGAAACUACUUGGCUCGAGUGUGGCAGAGGAAGGUGGAAUUCCAGGUGUAGCGGUGAAAUGCGUAGAGAUCUGGAGGAACACCGAUGGCGAAGGCAGCCUUCUGGGCCAACACUGACGCUCAUGCACGAAAGCGUGGGGAGCAAACAGG
rnacentral:rRNA from 1 species